UACGUAGGGUGCGAGCGUUGUCCGGAAUUACUGGGCGUAAAGAGCUCGUAGGUGGUUUGUCGCGUUGUUCGUGAAAACCGGGGGCUUAACCCUCGGCGUGCGGGCGAUACGGGGCAGACUGGAGUACUGCAGGGGAGACUGGAACUCCUGGUGUAGCGGUGGAAUGCGCAGAUAUCAGGAGGAACACCGGUGGCGAAGGCGGGUCUCUGGGCAGUAACUGACGCUGAGGAGCGAAAGCGUGGGGAGCGAACAGG
rnacentral:rRNA from 1 species